rnacentral:misc_RNA from 1 species
UCAAACCGAUCCAGGAGGGGGCUUGCGUUCUCACACAAACCCCUUUUUAAAAAGUGUAGAAUGACCCCAUUUUUGCGAUAACACGCAAUCAAUACAACUUUCAACAACGGAUCUCUUGGCUCUCGCAUCGAUGAAGAACGCAGCGAAAUGCGAUACGUAAUGUGAAUUGCAGAAUUCAGUGAAUCAUCGAAUCUUUGAACGCACCUUGCGCCCCUUGGUAUUCCGAGGGGCACACCCGUUUGAGUGUCGUGAAAAUCUCAACCUCCUCGGUUUCUUCUGGACACCGAAGGAGGCUUGGACUUUGGAGGCCUUUGCUGGCGUCUCUCGCCAGCUCCUCUCAAAUGAAUUAGCGGGGUCCUCUUUGCCGAUCCUCGACGUGUGAUAAGAUGUUUCCAUGUCUUGGUUUCUGGCUCUGUUGCUUUUGGGACCCGCUUCUAACCGUCUCAACCCGAGACAAUGUUUGAGCGUGUCUCCCUUCUCGGGAAACGCCCUCAAGCCCACGAACCCUUGACCUCAAAUCGGGUGAGACUACCCGCUGAACUUAAGCAUA